rnacentral:misc_RNA from 1 species
AAAUCCCAGUAUGAUGGUAGAUCGUGGAAGAGCGUAAAUAAAUGUGUGCCUACGUUUCUUCCUAGUGAUGGCUAAUGAACUGAGUAACGAUUUCACCGAUAUAUUAUCAGCAGCAUUAGAUGAAUCAGGCAUUGCUGGGGAUUUUGAAGAAUAUAAUGAACCUGCACACCAAACUGUGUAUCAAGGACAAUCUCAACCAAUUAUAAGUCAUGUCAUCAACCCUGGUACACUAAAUCCAGGAAUCCCACAACAAACUCAUCCUGGAGCAACGUUUCCAAAUGUCCAGUUGAAGACUCAAGUCUCCAAGGUGCAGAGUAAUCUGUCUUCCCAACUACAUCGAUCAUCAUCAAGUCCUGCAAUUAUCCGCAUUCCAGCCUCCUCCCUACAGAAACAUGGAGAAUCUCUUCAGGGCCAGAUUAAACUCCAGACCUCUCAAAUUCAAUCCAGUUCUAGUGGAGGUCCGAGGAUUAUUAAAAUCACCAGACUUGGUGGGCAGGCACCAAGCACUAUCAAAGUACCUGUGUCAGGAACCACUGUUCCUCUCAGUGGAAUCAUUAACAAAACAACAGGAGGGGUAGCGUCAGUGAAGCUAGGGAGCUAUGUCACAAAAAACUCAGCAGUGCCAACAAUAAAUCUAAAUGAUCUUUCAGGAAGAACUAGUGUUGCCGAGGUUCCGGUUAGUGAUACUUCGAAACCGGCAUCCGAUUCUUUAAAUUGGUCCAACUUAGUCCGGAAAGAUCCGUAUACUGGUGCGUGCAUGAUUAAUUUAGGAAAUCUUGCAACCGCGAGUGGUAAGAAAAUAAUUAUCACAACAACUAGUAAUCAAGUGACAGGUGGUGUGAAUCCCUCGCCUAGCAUCGGUGCUCAAGUUAUGUCGUCAGGUGGCAGGAUUAAUCCCGCAGUUUGUUCCACGUUUGGAGGAAUAACUAUGACUCCUUCAUCUCCAGCAUUGCCAAGAAGUGAUAUUUUAUCCAAUCAGGGCGGAAUGGGGAACAUAAGAGUGAAUUCAUUAACGCCUGGUGCAGUAAAUACUGCUCAGUCCCCCAGUGUGUCCCUCCUACAUGGAAAUCCAACCCUGCAGCACAGCAUGUCUACUCCAGCUCUGCCAGACCUUGAGCAUCCUCACUCAGUGAACGGACUCAAUGGAAGUAUUCCAGCUAGUUUCAAAGCUAAUGUGACUCACAAAGACUUGUCCAGGUUGUGGAGUAAUGAGGAUGUGAAGCUAAAGAAAGUUGGUCCAUCUGUUCAACAGCUAACUGCACGGCAAAUGUUAGGGGGAGGUGUAGCAUCUCUGGAGGAGGAUGAAGUAGAAGAAGAAGUCCAGGAACUGGGACAUGCAGAAACAUACAAUGAAUAUAUGCCAGUCAAGUUAUCAAUAGGAAUAAAACACCCUGACCCUGUGGUAGAAACCAGUUCUCUUGCUAGCGUUGAGCCGACCAAUAUUUGGUACAACUUGUCCUUACCAGAAAGCAUCAUUGAUAAUGGAGAGCUCUCGGCCUUGCAGUUAGAGGCUGUGACCUAUGCAUGCCAAAGGCAUGAAAUAAUUUUACCUAGUAAGGAUCGAGCAGGAUUCCUUAUUGGGGAUGGUGCUGGAGUUGGGAAGGGAAGAACCUUGGCUGGUAUCAUUUAUGAAAACUAUCUACUAGGACGAAAACGUGCUUUAUGGUUGAGUGUAUCAAAUGAUUUAAAGGUAGAUGCAGAGAGAGAUCUUAGUGACAUCGGUGCUGGAAGAAUUGAAGUCCAUGCACUUAACAAGUUCAAGUAUGCUAAAAUAUCAUCAAAAGAAAAUGGUAGUGUGAAGAAGGGAGUAAUAUUUGCCACAUACUCUUCUCUGAUUGGAGAAAGCCAAUCCAGUGGGAAAUAUAAGACCAGGUUCAAACAGCUACUGAAAUGGUGUGGAAAGGACUUUGAUGGUGUUGUAUCCUUUUUUCUAUAGCUGCCCAUGAAAUGGCUUUAGCAUGUGAUGUAAAUUCCUGUCUUUCCCUCAUUCUGUUGAUUUAUCUUUUGUCCUUCAGUCAUUAAUGUUAAAUUUAUUUCUACUCUUUUGCUCCAUAUCCUAAUUUAGCGUUUAUUUAAAAAUCUACCACUUUUCUACAGAGAAUUACCGCGGUAAGAUAAAAUGCAUUAUAAAGUUCCUUAAUGAGUAAUAGAUAGUAUUUGAUGAAUGCCAUAAAGCUAAGAAUCUUUGUCCGGUGGGCUCCAGCAAACCAACAAAGACGGGACAGACUGUCCUAGAACUACAGAACCGCCUGCCCAAUGCCAGGAUAGUGUACGCUAGUGCCACUGGGGCCUCUGAACCUAAGAACAUGGCGUACAUGACACGACUAGGCUUAUGGGGAGCGGGCACUCCUUUUCCUGAGUUCAAUGAUUUCAUUCAGGCUGUUGAGAAAAGAGGAGUUGGUGCUAUGGAACUGGUUGCCAUGGAUAUGAAACUCCGAGGAAUGUACAUUGCCAGACAGCUCAGUUUUAAAGGCGUCACAUUUAAAAUCGAGGAGAUUCCUUUGGAAAAAAAUUUUGUCAAGGUCUACAAUGACAGUGUUAGAAUGUGGGUUACAGCAAGGGAACGAUUUAGUAAAGCUGCUGAGCUCAUGGAUGCUGAACAGAGGAUGAAAAAGAGCAUGUGGGGUCAAUUCUGGUCAGCACAUCAGAGAUUUUUCAAGUAUCUCUGUAUAUCGGCAAAAGUUCAACAUUGUGUUGAACUAGCACGUGAGGCAGUCAAAAAUGGCAAGUGUGUUGUCAUUGGUCUUCAAUCCACGGGGGAAGCCAGGACUCUGGAACAGUUAGAAGAACAGGGAGGGGAACUCAACGACUUUGUCUCAACAGCCAAAGGGGUGUUUCAAACUUUGGUUGAGAAGCAUUUUCCUGCACCUGACAGAAGGAAAACUUUUGACAUAUUUGGACUAGGGAAUUAUGGGAAGAAGAAAGAACCUGUUCAACAGACAGAGAACAAC